GUGCCAGCCGCCGCGGUAAUACAGAGGGGGCAAGCGUUAUUCGGAAUUAUUGGGCGUAAAGGGCGCGUAGGCGGCCUUGCAAGUGACGGGUGAAAUCCCUCGGCUUAACCGAGGAACUGCCUGUCAAACUGCGAGGCUUGAGACCGGGAGAGGUGAGUGGAAUUCCCAGUGUAGCGGUGAAAUGCGUAGAUAUUGGGAGGAACACCAGUGGCGAAGGCGGCUCACUGGACCGGUACUGACGCUGAGGCGCGAAAGCGUGGGGAGCAAACAGGAUUAGAAACCCUUGUAGUCC
rnacentral:rRNA from 1 species